UAUUGAAGCUAGUUAGUUAAGAUGACACUUAAAUGUUAAUUAGUUGUUAGCUGUAGUUAGUGGAAGUAGAAAGUUGGUUAGACUAGUAACUAACUAUAAUGCUAAAGUGUCCAGCUGUGAUGAUCAGUUAAAUCACACUAUAAAUACUUGUAUGUGCCUUUAUAGUUUUAGUUUGAUAUGAAAUAAAUUUCUCUCUUCUAUCUUCUCUCAAAAUGCUUCCGCCAUUAAUGUAGCUUGAGCUUACAAGCUAAGUAUGAAAUCUAACAUGGUAUCAGAGCAGUGUUGACUGGAAUUACACGCUCAAACAAAUAGAUUCUUCAAUUGCGAAUAAGAAAUGGCUGGAAACUUAGAAACAGAACCAGCUGAAGAUCGACAGACUCAGGUAAUUACUGAAAAAAUCAAUAACACACAUCCAUUGUUUGUUCACCCGUCAGAUACUCCAGGAUCGGUGUUGAUUCCCACAAAAUUGACUGGAUCUGAAAAUUACGGGUUAUGGAGACGAUCUAUGACGAUAGCCUUGCAAGCAAAAAGGAAAUUGGGAUUUGUUAACGGGACCUGUAGGAAGGAGCAAUUCGGUACUGAUCUACAUGAAGAUUGGGAGACUUGUAAUGCGAUUGUUUUAUCCUGGAUUAUGAACACAGUUUCUAUGCAUCUUCUCAGUGGGAUUGUGUAUUCGUCAAAUGCACAUCUGGUAUGGGAGGAUCUGAAGGAGAGGUUCGAUAAAGUCAAUAGAAUUCGAAUUUUUCAGUUACAUCGAGAGAUCGCGAUGAUAUCGCAAGGAACUGAUUCUAUAGCUACGUAUUUUACAAGGCUAAGAGAACUUUGGGCUGAAUAUGAUGAUUUGGUUCCCACACCUAGGUGUGAUUGCGUGAAAUCUAGGGAUUACAUUGAACACCUUCAGGGCCAGAGAUUACUGCAAUUUCUUAGUGGUUUGAAUGAUUCUUAUGAGCAAGUACGCAGGCAAUUAUUGCUCAAAACUAUUGAACCAUCACUAAAUCAAGCGUAUGCCAUGAUUAGUGAGGAUGAGAGUCAAAGAUCAUGUCCUUUUCCAGCUAUUGGAGGAAAGAGUGAACAUCUUGCCAUGCAAAUCAAUAGAGGACAACCAUAUAGGGGUAAAAAGCCCUUUGUCAAGUGCGAUCAUUGUGGACGAGGAGGACAUGUAAAAGGAGACUGCUACUGGUUGGUUGGUCGUCCAGAGGAGCAAAAGGGGACUCCUGAUGAUGACUCUAGGAAAAGGAACUAUGCAGCAAACAAUAACAAAAAGCCAUACAACUCGCAAUUUCAGAGACAAAAGAACUUUAAUGCAAAUAAUGUUGUAAGUGAUGAUAGGAGACACUAUGCAACUGAAAAUGAAGGGAGUUGCUCAAUGAAGAAUGGAGCUGGUGAUCAGGUUUUCACAGAUGAACAGUACAAACAAUUGCAGCAGCUAUAUGGGAGAAAUGCUCCUUUGUUUUCAGAUGAACAAUACAGACAAAUUCAGGAGAUGAUGAAUGAUAAGAAGGAACACACAAAUCAGCACAAUCUGGCAGGUACUGUUACAUCUCUAUUAUCUGCAUUCUCUUCAAAGGAAUGGAUCAUAGAUUCUGGUGCCACUCAUCACAUUGCAUCUAAUCUGGACAUGUUAAAGGAUUCCGUGGAGAUUAAUUGUUCUAGUAAUCAACAGGUUCACUUGCCAAAUGGUGAAAAAUCUAAAAUCACUCAUACAGGAAUUGCUGAGUUCCUAGAAGGGCUGCGAGUUGACAAUGUUUUAUGUGUUUCGGACUUCAAAUACAACUUGAUAUCAGUUUCCAAACUAACCAAGAGCCUAUCCUGCUCUGUCACUUUCUUUCCUGACUUUUGUAUAUUUCAGGAUCUUUACAAUGGCAAGGUGAGGGGGAUUGGUAAAGAGGAAGGAAGCUUGUACAUUGUCAAGUCUCAUGAUAUGUGCUCAACCAAUAGUACUAAAUUGUCUUCAGAUAAGGCAAAAGAUACUGAACUUUGGCACCAAAGACUAGGUCACCCAUCUUUACAAGUCAUGCAGAAACUUGGGUUGACUCAGAAAAUAAAUUCCACAGCAGAUUGUCCAAUAUGUCCAUUGGCUAAGCAGAGUAGNNNNNNNNNNNNNNNNNNNNNNNNNNNNNNNNNNNNNNNNNNNNNNNNNNNNNNNNNNNNNNNNNNNNNNNNNNNNNNNNNNNNNNNNNNNNNNNNNNNNGUGUCCAGGAGCUCUGCAGAAGCAGAGUACAGAAGCUUAGCUGCUGCAACAUCUGAGAUUAUUUGGCUGCUGGGAUUGUUUAGUGAGUUGGGAGUUGAAGUGAAGAAACCUGUGGAUGUAUAUUGUGAUAGCAAGGCUGCCAUUCAGAUUGCAGCAAAUCCAAUUUUUCAUGAACGCACCAAACAUAUAGAGAUAGAUUGUCAUUUUGUUAGGGAUAAAAUCAAGGAAGGCAAAGUGCAGACUCAACAUGUUGGAACAAGAGAUCAACAAGCAGACUUACUCACAAAAGGCCUUGGAAGAAAUCAACAUGUGUAUUUGUUAAACAAGCUGGGAGUGCUUGAUCUAUUACACCCUCCAGCUUGAGGGGGAGUAUUGAAGCUAGUUAGUUAAGAUGACACUUAAAUGUUAAUUAGUUGUUAGCUGUAGUUAGUGGAAGUAGAAAGUUGGUUAGACUAGUAACUAACUAUAAUGCUAAAGUGUCCAGCUGUGAUGAUCAGUUAAAUCACACUAUAAAUACUUGUAUGUGCCUUUAUAGUUUUAGUUUGAUAUGAAAUAAAUUUCUCUCUUCUAUCUUCUCUCAAAAUGCUUCCGCCAUUAAUGUAGCUUGAGCUUACAAGCUAAGUAUGAAAUCUAACAUAAGUCUCUUUUAAUUUGGUUUUGUCAAUAUUAUUCAACAUAAAUUAUGCAUGCAUAUGUUUUCAUCAUGACUUUACACACUUAUUAUCAUUUUAUUUACGUCAAUAAAUCAAUUGCCCUUUUCACUUGAGAAUUAUUUAUUUAUUUAUUAGGCUAAUGUACUUGAAGUUGCACAUUUAAUUUCUUAAUCGAAAGUAUUAACCAAAUGCUUUUGGAUGUAUAGUAAAAUAGGAAGAUAAACCCUCUUUACCCCUUUUAUAUUCAUAAAAAUAAUUGAUUGAAGUAAUUAUGUGCACCUUAAUAAUAUUUUAAUCUUAUAAAGUCGUGGAUUGGGAUUCAAACACAUCUUAUAAUUAGUACAAUGCAUUAGGAUUUAAACUUGAUAUUUUACCUUUAUUAUAAGAUCAUGUGUUGCGUCAUAAUACAAUAAAUAUUGAACAUAACGUCGCUCUUAUCUUUAUUGUGUGUUGAGACUCUAACCCAUUAUUUGAUGAUUCAAUCAUCAAGUCUUGUUAGGCCAUAAUGAGUAAUCGAAACUUAAACGAACGUCUUUUGUUAUGAUGCAUUAUGAUCCAAAUAUCUUAUGUACCUACAUAAAGUCGUAUUAUGCCAUAUUAAUAUGUUGGAACUCGAACUCAUAUUUUAUUCUCAUGGAGCAUUACAAUUCUAACCCACCAUUUUUGACCUCGUAAAUUUGUGUAUAUAUUAGGUUAUAAUGCGUUGGAAUUCAAACCUAACAUCUUAUCAACAUAAUACAUCAUGACUCAAAACACCAUCAUUUGUUCAACUCUUUGUUCAAUUUAUAUGACAAUGAAUUUCGAUCUUAGGUUAAUUAAUUAAAAAGAUUACUGGAAAUAUUUUUUCACAUGCACCAUUACUAUUUCUAGAUUAAAAAAAAAACACAUCGUUGAAAUUCCUAAAACAAAGAAUCUAGAUAAUCAUAGUCUCACACAUAAAUAUAUAUAAAGUGAUUACAAGGAACAUGGUUCACAUUAUUGAAAAUUCAAACCAAAUCUAAUUAUUAUUAAGAAUAUUCAACUUCACAUUUAUUUUUUAUUAAUUUUUGUUUAAUUGGAUUUGUAAUAUUAUUAAUUUAAUAAGUAAUAACAUGGUUAAUUACGUUAGAUUCGGCUUCGUGUCUUUAUUAAGUCUUUUCUGAAAUAUUCAAACAAAAUCUAAUUAUUAUUAAGAAUAUUCUAUUAAUCAUUAAAACCUUUAAUUUUUUUAAAAAGAGUUAGGUUAAUGAUUGUUGUCCAUCUUAAAUUAAAUCGAAUAAGUGUUAAACUAAAACCUAGCUUUCAUACCUUUCUUUUUUCUUUCUUUCAAAUUUCUCAUUUUAUUAUUUCUUGGGUAAAAAUGGCUAGUCAAACAACAAUAAUAACAUAUUUUUUGCGGGUUUGAAUUCCAUUGUGAACAUUAUAUUAAUUGUCCAAAAAAAUAAAAAUAAUAAUAAUAACAUACUUGGUCUAAUUUCAUAAGUAAUAAAGUCUGAUGAAAAUAAAAUAUACAGAGUAAGGAAAUUAGUUUCGACAAAAACGAUUAAUCUUAUUUAAAUUUUAGUUUAUUGAUAUUAAUUGUCUCUAUAGUUUUCUAGAGAGUGAGAUAAGUAUGAUACAUCUAGAAAAGUUUAUUAACAUUCUUAAUUAAUUAGAUAAGGAUACAAAAGAAAUGAUCUCAUACAAUUGACAUUAGUAAUUUAAUACGUUUAUAUGUAUUUUUUUAAUCUUCACUAUGUUCCAAUUUUCUUAACAUGCAUGUUAAUUUUUCUUCUUCUUAUAAUCUUUUUUCUAAUUUUCCGAUAAGUCUAGAGGAUACACCCUUACUAAUUUGACAUAGAAGCUUCUAUAGAUAACUUUUUAGUAAUUUUAAUUUAACCAUUUAGUGUUUAAGACACAUAUUUCAUUAAUUUAAAUUCAUGUUAAAUAGAAUUCAUUAGAUAAGUAAAUAAUUGCUUAUCAAGAGAUUUUUAUUUUCAGGAGAAUUUGAUGUCGCUUAUUCUAAGUGAAGAGAUAUUAAUGAUAUUAUAAUAAAGCUCGAUAUAUCGUGAAAUAACAAAUUUGUUAUUACUAUUUGUUUAUAAGAAUUUUACUAGACUUUCUGUGUGGCCUUAGUUUAUCUACAUUAUCCAAGAAAGCUAUGGGAAUUGUGAAGGAGGGGAAAUAAAUAAUUUGCCAAAAGGAUAAUCUUAUUUAUCCUCUUGACGUAAAUAUAUGAUUUAAUGUAAUUUUUUUUUAUAUUACCUUAAUAGCAAUAUUAUAGAAGUUUUCUUAUGUUAAAAAGAUUCAAUUCAAAAUAAUUUAAAAUCAUAGACAAAAGUCGAGGAAUUAUUGAAUCUUUUUACUCAAAAUAUUUAAACGCAUAAAAUUCAUCCAUUUCACGAUACAAUUUUAUUCAUGGUAAGAGAAAAUGUAAAGAUAUUUGAUAUACCGUAACUCGUAAGUAUGAACAACAAACAAAAAGAGUAAAGAAAUAUAAAGUUUUUGAGGUUCCUUUCCGAUAUAAUCAAAUAUUUGGUGAAAUUUGACCUUAAUUUAAUAUAUAAGAUUCGUAUAAAAGUUACUACUUCAUUUACACAAUUCCAUAAUCGAAGCCUUUAGACUCUCCCUAACGACUAGGGAUAAAAUUGAACAAUCUCGCACCCAAAGGGUCUAACCAAGGAGUUAAUGAAGUAUAGGUUAAUACCAUGAGGUUCUCAUAUUCAAAACCUAACAUAGACAAAACACUAAAUAGUUUCUUCACAUCUGUUCUAUUUUUGACAACCAACGUUAUUUCAUACCUAUUAUAACAUGUAUUCCGUAAAAUUACUCGAGGUAUGCUUAAAAUGACCUGAACUAUCAGACAAAAAUAAAAUUACAAAAGUCACGCUCCAUGCCACGAGCGUGGGCCUUAGUUAUUUUCAAUCAUAUAUCACAACUCAAACCGGUAUACAAUAACAAAAAAACCGGAUUCAUUACCUGAACCGGUUCACACUUGCCGAUCUAGCCCCACACGUGCCAAUCCCAAAAAUGCACCAUUUAAAAUCCAGCAUUUUGAAGAAAAAUUCUAUUCAUAUAUCGUUAACCGUUUUUUUCCCCUUAAUAACACACAACCAAUCAUUUCAACAGAAAAAAAAGAAGAAAAAAAAUCUCAACUUUUUUUUUUCUCUGUUCUUGAUAUUUUUUUUCAAGCCUAGUUUUGUUUGAUUUCAAAAAGUGUUUAUUUUUUAGUUAUUAUUUUCUUUUUUGGUUCAAGAAAAGAACCAAAAAAGACCAUUUUUAAGCAAGAAGAAGUCAUGGAAUUGAAGGAUAUGGUGGUUCUUGUGUCACGCUCCGGACGGCAUUUGCAACGUUACAACAAGGGUCGUCGCCAAGUUGUAGGGUACGUACCCUCGUGUAACUUUUAAGAGACGGAUUCAGAAUUUAAACUGAACUCGUUAUUUGAAAUUAUAAGUUAAGAGUUUGAUGUUUGUUGUAUUUUUUGUGUUGGCUGAGGUGUAUAUAUAUGUUUCGUGUUGAAAAUGUUGGUUAGUUUGUGAAAUUAUUGUUCAAAAGUUUCAUUCCCACCGUGAGGUGGAGUCGGGAUUUGAAACUUAAUUAAUGAUUUAGAGACGGAUUUAGAAUUUAAACUGAACUCGUUGUGAAAUUAUAAGUUUAAGAAUUUGACGUUUGUUGUAUGUUUUGUGUUGGUUAAGGUGUAUAUCUAUGUUUCGUGUCGAAAAUGUUGGUUAGUUUGUGAACCUUUUGUUCAAAAGUUUCUUCCUUCAUCCUGAGUCGGAGUUAGGAUUUGAUACUUAUGGAUGACUUUUACUUAUUUAAUGGAUUUCUUAAUAGAAUAACAUGGUUUGAAUCAAAACGAUCGAACGUGAAAGUCAUACCUCCACCCUCUUAGUUUUCUCUUGCAUUUCAUGUUAAUUGGUAAUCUAUGUAAUGUUUUUGUUUUGUUUACAUGAUUUAAUUUCUGGGUUGGAACAUAUUGUUUAAACAAUAAUGUUAACAAUGUGUUUUUUUCCUAAAAAAAUGUUUUUGUUUGGAGAGUUGACUUCAAGGAAAAACUAAAAGAGAAGGUCAAUUGGUCAUCUUCCUCUAUGAUUCCAAAUUGCAAUUGACUUAUUCAACAUUUACCCCCUUCCUUGUCUUUUUGAGUUGAUUUUUUCUACACAUUCUUUUGUAGAAAUGUAUUGAAUUUUUUUUUUUUUUACAUAUUUUUGGCAUCAAAGAUUUUGUAUUUUUGAUGCAAUUUGUCCUUUGGAUCUUAUAAAGUUUUCCUUUUUAAGAUAUUUGUUUUGGUACUUUAGGGCAAUAUAUCAUUAGUUAUGGCUUCGACAGAACUGAGUAACUUUGACUCAGACAAGUAGUUUAUUCAGAACCUUAUAAGCAAAACAUUACUAUGGUUCAAAAUUCAUAAACUAAAAUCCCCGGUUCCGUCUUUGUUUGUUGUCUAUUUUUCUUUUUUGAUAUCUUGAAAAAAAAUAAUCAGAAAUUCAUGUGGUGUUUGGCUAACUUUAUUCAACUCAUCACAUGUCUUGUUUUUUUCCCCUGGGAAAAAGGACAUUCUUUUAUGUUUAAUUAAAGAAUAGUUAUGGCAUAAUUUGAUACCAUUUUCUAGAUUUUAAUAGUGAAAGACUAUUACUGAACAUGGAUAUACAUUUUUAAAAAAAUUGUAUCACAUGGAUUUGACUUUGUUGUAUGAUUUUCAUGUGGAAAGAUAUAUUUUUUGAUGAAUUAUAAACCAUAUCAGUUUUCUUUGAUCAUGUAUUUUCCGCAGAUGUUUACCUUACCGAUAUAAAGACUUCAUCGAGUUAUCGUUGGUAGAUGAAGAUGCAUUUGAAGUUCUUCUAAUAAGUCCACAAAGAAAAGGCAAAGGAUUGUUAUUCCCAAAGGUAGCUACUAUACUCCCACCGUCCCAAGUCUACCUAUGUGACAAUGUUUGACUGAACAUGAUGUUUAACAAAAGAAAGAAAGACUUUUCGAACUAGUUGUUUAAAGCAUAUUAUAGACAUUUCUGUGACUAUUGAUCUUAUCGACUCGUUAAGAGAGAAAUGAAAAAUGUCAUUCUUUUAAGUCUCGAUUUUGAAUACAAAUUCCUUUUCUUGUUAUGGUAGGGAGGUUGGGAAGAAGAUGAAACGAUUGAGGAUGCAGCGCAACGUGAGACAAUAGAGGAAGCUGGAGUUCGAGGUGAAGUUGAGGUUCGUUCCCCCUCAUGAUCUCUUUUUAUAUGAAAAAUAAGAAACAAAAUCUUCGCGUUAACUUGUUUAUUACAUCAAAUAAAUGGUUGUAACAAGUUUCAAUCUUUUGUUUUUUCGAUUACUUUUGCAGUGUAAACUUGGAACAUGGUACUUUGAGAACAAAGCCGGUGACACCGCCUAUGAAGGGCAUAUGUUUCCUCUGUUUGUAACAGAGGAACUAGACUAUUGGCCUGAGAAAGAAAUUCGCGAAAGAACUUGGGUAUGCAAUAAUAAUAUACUUGUAUGACAUAAAUAGUAUCACAUCUUCGUCUUAGCUGACAAGUAUUUUUCCAAUCUGUAGAUGAAUGUUCGCGAAGCAAGAAAACAAUGCCAAAAUGGAUGGAUGAAAGAAGCAUUGGAAGUAUUAGUAAGUCGUCUCACAUCACAAAUAAGCAAGCAAACCAAAGGGGAACUAUUUCAAGGAAUCGAACGUACCUCAAGUGGUAGAACAACUAUUCUUCCAUGGGGAUGUAGAGCUCAAAUACUUCCUCCACCACUAUCAAAUUCUACUGAAGAAGCAUAAUCGAUCCACUACUAAACCAUUCAUGGUUGAUGUAGUUUGUGAAUAGGAAUUAAUCAUUGAUAAUGGGUAAAUCUAGCGCGCGGAUUAAGUAGUUCAUGAGAGUAACAACUCCAAUUUUAAAGGAACAAAUAAAAAAAAA
rnacentral:lncRNA from 1 species